rnacentral:lncRNA from 1 species
GGCUAGGGGUUGAUUCGGAGCAGCUACAGCUGCUGGCCUAGGCCACAAUCACAGCAAUGCAGGAUCUGAGCUGCAUCUGUGACCUACAUCACAGCUUAUGGCAACGCCGGAUCCUUAACCUACUGAGAAAGGCCAGGGAUUGAACCUGCGUCUUCAUGGGUGCUAGUCAGAUUCGUUUCUGCUGAGCCACAAAGGCGACUCCGGUAUACAUUCUUUUUCUCAUAUUCCAUCAUCCAGGGACUUAAUAUAGUUCUCUGUGCUCUACAGUGGGACCUCAUUGUUUCUCCAUUCUAAAUGUAAUAGUUUGCAUCUACCAACCCUCAAAUCCCUGUCUAUCCCUCUUCGCCACCCCCCCCCCCAGGCCUUGGCAGCCACAGGUCUGUUCUCUACAUCUGUGCUUCUGUUUCUGCUUUGUAGAUAGGUUCAUUUUUGUCAUAUUUUAGAUUCCACAUGUAGGUGAUAUCAUAUAGAAUUUGUCAUUCUCUUUCUGAUUUCACUUAGUAUAAGCAUCUAGUUGCAUCCGUGUCAUUGGAAAUGGCAUUAUUUGGGGUUUUUUUAUGGCUGGGUAGUAAUCCACUGUAUGAUGAUUCUAUUCAAUCUGGGAAGUGAUAGUAUUUUCUAGAACUUUUGUUUAGGUUUGUUUCUCUGACUUGAUAAAACCUGCUCUCAUACCUUCUGUGCUAAUUUGGAGGUGGGGCUGGGCAGGUAUAAUUGAAGUCUCAUCAAAGAGGCUUGAGUAGCACUGGCUUCUUACAUGGAGAACAUGAUAAAAGAAGCGUCUGGCUAUAGCGACUAGAUAGAAUACUAUUUGCUGGAUGUCUUUAUGAUUGAGAAUCUAACCCUCAAAAACAGGAAGCAAAAAUACCAAGAUGUAAAAUAAAAAGUACAAAGAUGUGUGAUGGAUUAUUCACGGUUUCUGGGAGGGAGAGGCUUCACUUGUUAAGGGAAAGGGUUUUUAUUUUACCCUACCGUGUGCUUCACUGAUUUCUUCUGCUCUGACCAACCCCUCAUUUGUUCAUCAUCCUAGUAUUUGUAGGAAGAAGUUGCGUAUUUUGCCACACCAUGCUCCUGCCAGUGUGACUGGUUCAUUUAUUAAAUACAAAUAAAUACCUGUUUUUAUCAUUAGGUAUGUCUACCCUGAUCUCAGUGGAUCAAUGCAUAAAAAUUUUGAGUUCCGUGGUGGCUCAGUGGGUUGAGAAUCUAGUAUGGCCACUGCUGUGUGGGGCUUUGAUCCCUGACUUGGGAACGUGGGCAUGCGGUGGGUGUGGCCAAAAAAAUUUUUGUCUUUAGCAUAGUUUUUAAUAUGAGGGGGUAAAAUGAACUGAAAUGAAACUUGAACAAAUUUCUUCCUUGUGUGUGUAACUGAAACAAGAAAAUGUGGUUAUUAGUGGUUAAAGAACAGUGCCACAUCAGAAAGGUCUGGAGCAGAGAAGUGAGAUUUUUGGGUUUGUAAGGAGGCUAAGUGAGGUGCAGCCAGAGGGAAAGGCGAAUAAUGGGUGGUAGAGGGAACUCGGAAGAGGGAAAAAGGACAAAUUGAAAUCUCAACCUUUAACUCACAUAGGAAAGGUUCUGUGACUGCUCUUCUGUCAGAAGUAUGUUAAAAUAAGUCCAUGGCAUGCAGAAAUUGAGACCAGAAAUCGAACCAGGGCCACAGCAGUGAUAAGGCCAGAUCCUCAACCCUCUGAGCCACCAGGUAACUCCUAAAGAAGCUUCCCCUCCACCCCUGGCCACAGCAACACCAGAUCCUUAACCUACCAAGCGAGGCCAGGAUCAAAUCCACUUCCUCUCAGACAACAUAAAUCCUUAACCCACUGAGCCAGGAAUGCCUAAGCUUAUUUUUACUUUUUUUUUUUUUGCUAAGCUUAUUUUUAAAUGCCAGAUUUUAUUUUUUUUAUUUUAUUUUUUUGUCUUUUUGCCAUUUUUUGGGCCGCUCCCACGGCAUAUGGAGGUUCCCAGGCUAGGGGUUGAAUUGGAGCUGUAGCCACCGGCCUAUGCCAGAGCCACAGCAACUCGGGAUCCGAGCCGCGUCUGCAGCCUACACCACAGUUCACGGCAACGCCGGAUCCUUAACCCACUGAGCAAGGCCAGGAAUCGAACCCGCAACCUCAUGGUUCCUAGUCAGAUUCGUUAACCACUGCGCCACAACGGGAACUCCCCAGAUUUUAUUUUUUAGGACGAUAUUUUAUUAUUGUCUUUUUAGGGCCACACCAGCAGCAUAUGGAGAUUCCCAGGCUAGGGGUCAAAUCAGAGCUGUAGGGGCUGACCUACACUACAGCUCACUGCAACCCACAUCCUUAACCCACUGAGCAAGGCCAGGGAUCUAACCUGCAUCCUCAUGGAUGCUAGUCAGAUUCGUUUCAACAGAGCCACAAGGGGAACUCCAGGACACUUUAAAAUGUAUAGGCCAACUACAAAGCACGAUUUAAUGCAUUGGUUUUUAAUGUACAAGCAUUAAUGUUUAGCCUUUUUUUAGGGCUGCACCUGUAGCAUACGGAAGUUACCAGGCUAGGGAUAGAAUUGGAGCUACAACUACAGAAUGCCAGAUCCGAGCCAUGUCUGUGACCUACACCACAGCUCAUGACAAUGUCAGAUCCUUAACCCACUAAGCGAGGCCAGGGAUCAAACCUGCAUCCUCAUGGAUACUAGUCAGAUUCAUUUCCACUAAGCCACAUCAGGAACUCUUUCUUUUUUUUAAUGACUGCACAGCCUACACAAGUUCCCAGGUCAGGGAGUGAGUCUGAGCCAUAGCUGAGGCAAUAUUGGAUCCUUAACCCACUGCACCCAACCAGGGAUCAAACCUGUGCUACCACAGAGACAAUGCUGGAUCCUUAUCCCACUGUACCAGAGUGGGAACUCCAAUGUUUAACAUUCCUUUAACCUCCAUAUGCUGAGGGUGAACCCUCAAAAGACAAAAACACAAAAAAUAAAAAUAAAAAAAUAAA